UCAUAAUAACUUAACGAAUCGCAUGGCCUUGUGCCGGGCGAUGGUUCAUUCAAAUUUCUGCCCUAUCAACUUUCGAUGGUAGGAUAGUGGCCUACCAUGGUUUCAACGGGUAACGGGGAAUUAGGGUUCUAUUCCGGAGAGGGAGCCUGAGAAACGGCUGCACAUCCAAGGAAGGCAGCAGGCGCGCAAAUUACCCAAUCCCGACACGGGGAGGUAGUGACAAUAAAUACUGAUACAGGGCUCUUUUGGGUCUUGUAAUUGGAAUGAGUCACAAUUUAAAUCCCUUAACGAGGAACCAAUUGGAGGGCAAGUCUGGUGCCAGCAGCCGGGGUAAAUUCCAGCUCCCAAUAGCGUAUCAUCCAACAGUCUGUUGGCAGUUAAAAAGCUCGUAGUUGAACCUUGAGCCUGGCUGGCCGGUCCGCCUCACGCGUGGCACUGGUCCGGCCGGGUUUUCCCUUCUGGGGAGCCGCAUGCCUUCACUGGGUGUGUCGGGGAACAGGACUUUACUUUGAAAAAAUUAGAGUGUCAAAGCAGGCCUAUGCUCGAAUACAUUAGCAUGGAAUAAUAGAAUAGG
rnacentral:rRNA from 1 species